rnacentral:rRNA from 1 species
GUGGGGAAUCUUGCGCAAUGGGCGAAAGCCUGACGCAGCAACGCCGCGUGCGGGAUGAAGGCUCUCGGGUUGUAAACCGCUUUCAGCAGGAACGAAAAUGACGGUACUUGCAGAAGAAGGUGCGGCCAACUAUGUGCCAGCAGCCGCGGUGAUACAUAGGCACCAAGCGUUGUCCGGAUUUAUUGGGCGUAAAGAGCUCGUAGGCGGUUCGGUAAGUCGGGUGUGAAAACUUUGGGCUCAACCCAAAGCCUGCAUCCGAUACUGCUGUGACUAGAGUUCGGUAGGGGAGCGGGGAAUUCCUAGUGUAGCGGUGAAAUGCGCAGAUAUUAGGAGGAACACCGGUGGCGAAGGCGCCGCUCUGGGCCGAUACUGACGCUGAGGAGCGAAAGCGUGGGUAGCAAACAGGAUUAGAAACCCGAGUAGUCC